rnacentral:rRNA from 1 species
UACGGAGGGUGCAAGCGUUACUCGGAAUCACUGGGCGUAAAGCGCGCGCAGGCGGUUAGGAAAGUCAGAAGUGAAAUCCUACAGCUCAACUGUAGAACUGCUUCUGAAACUCUCUAACUAGAGUCUGGGAGAGGUAGCUGGAAUUAGUGGUGUAGGGGUAAAAUCCGCAGAGAUCACUAGGAAUACCAAAAGCGAAGGCAAGCUACUGGAACAGAACUGACGCUGAGGCGCGAAAGCGUGGGGAGCAAACAGGAUUAGAUACCCUGGUAGUCCACGCCCUAAACGAUGGAUGCUAGUCGUUGGGAAGCUAGUCUUCCCAGUGAUGCAGUUAACACAUUAAGCAUCCCGCCUGGGGAGUACGGUCGCAAGAUUAAAACUCAAAGGAAUAGACGGGGACCCGCACAAGUGGUGGAGCAUGUGGUUUAAUUCGAAGAUACGCGAAGAACCUUACCUGGCCUUGACAUCCCGCGAACCCUGCAGAGAUGCAGGGGUGCCCCCUUAUGGGGGAACGCGGUGACAGGUGCUGCACGGCUGUCGUCAGCUCGUGUCGUGAGAUGUUGGGUUAAGUCCCGCAACGAGCGCAACCCUCGCCCUUAGUUGCUAACAGUUUUAGCUGANCANUCUAAGGGGACUGCCUGGGUAACCAGGAGGAAGGUGAGGAUGACGUCAAGUCAUCAUGGCCCUUACGGCCAGGGCGACACACGUGCUACAAUGGGUAGGACAAUGAGAUGCAAUACCGCGAGGUGGAGCNAAAUCUAUAAACCUACUCUCAGAUUCGGAUUGUAGUCGNCAACUCGACUACAUGAAGCUGGAAUCACUAGUAAUCGUGGAUCAGCCAUGCCACGGUGAAUACGUUCCCGGGUC